rnacentral:lncRNA from 1 species
UAAAUUUAUUUUUAAAAAAUUGAAUAAAGUAAAACUCAUACUCAUACAUCCUCAGAUCCUUGCAAUUGCUAAUCGUGCUGCUACUGAGCCGAACACUGUCGCAAAGGAAGACGAAGAUGAUGGCUAAAAGCUGCCAAUUACGUGGACGCUACUCGCCACUCGGCCAACAAAAUCCCCAAAUAUUUCAAAACUUGACUGAAUUCCGAAAUCUUUUAGCAUUGAUCGGAGGUGGUUCGGGAACAAGAAAAUUCUAGAUGCUGGAUCAACACGAUCGAGGGACAUCGAAGGAACUGUAGAGCCUUGAUCAAUACACUGCGACGGAGUAAUCAAGGUGCUCUUCGUGGGGCGAUUGUGCAUCUGCAGGUAACACCUUUCACGAUACUCCCUCCCAUGCGUUAUCUUCUUCGUUUGUCUCUGUAGUUGUCAUUUGCAACAGACAAUUUGUUUGGUUUCUGAGAAAAGAAAGGAAAAGUAUUAGCAAAAUAAAAAAUAAAAAAAACCUACAUGUAAAAAUAAUUAGUUUAGUUAAUAAGGAGGCGUUAUUAUUACUAUUAAAACAUUACAGUAAAUAAUUAAUAUAAAGUAUUUGGUUUUUUAAACUGAGUUUAUUUUAUUUAUACAUAUAUAAAUCCACGUGCUGUAAAAAUGGAUUAUGUUUAUUUACCGCAAAAACUUUAUAAGGAGUAUUAUAGUUUCUUCUCCCAAGAAAUUUAUCUUUUAGAAUUGUUUUUU